rnacentral:rRNA from 1 species
CCUACGGGGGGCUGCAGUGGGGAAUUUUGCGCAAUGGGCGAAAGCCUGACGCAGCAACGCCGCGUGUGUGAUGAAGGCCUUCGGGUUGUAAAGCACUGUUCAGAGGGAAGAACAAGCGGGGGUAACGCCCCGCCCUGACGGUACCUCUGAAGAAAGCACUGGCUAACUCCGUGCCAGCAGCCGCGGUAAUACGGAGAGUGCGAGCGUUGUUCGGAAUUACUGGGCGUAAAGGGCGUCUAGGCGGCUUGCCAAGUCAGAUGUGAAAUCCCUCGGCUCAACCGAGGACGUGCAUCUGAAACUGGUGAGCUUGAGUACUGGAGGGGGCAGCGGAAUUCCCGGUGUAGAGGUGAAAUUCGUAGAUAUCGGGAGGAACACCAGUGGCGAAGGCGGCUGCCUGGCCAGAUACUGACGCUGAAGCGCGAAAGCGUGGGGAGCAAACAGGAUUAGAUACCCGGGUAGUC